rnacentral:rRNA from 1 species
GGGCCCGCACAAGCAGUGGAGCAUGUGGUUUAAUUCGAUGCAACGCGAAGAACCUUACCAGGCCUUGACAUCCUCGGAACUUUCUAGAGAUAGAUUGGUGCCUUCGGGAACCGAGUGACAGGUGGUGCAUGGCUGUCGUCAGCUCGUGUCGUGAGAUGUUGGUUAAGUCCCGCAACGAGCGCAACCCUUGCCCUCAGUUGCCAGCAGUUCGGCUGGGGCACUCUGGGGGGACUGCCGGUGACAAGCCGGAGGAAGGUGGGGAUGACGUCAAGUCCUCAUGCCCCUUACAUCCUGGGCUACACACGUACUACAAUGCUACGGACAAAGGGCAGCAAGUUCGCGAGGAC